UAUUGAACAACGCAAAAUAAACAUUCAUGUUCUCGUAUAACAACAUCCGGUGAAAGGUUCGCUUCGGCUGAACCCAAGACCAUCGGAUACGGAGAUCGAAAUGGAGAAGGAAGCGAACAAUCUUGGGUGCGAUGCCUCUCUGCCUACGGGCAGAUGAGAGGGAGCGCAAUGAUUGAGCGUACAU
rnacentral:ncRNA from 2 species